rnacentral:rRNA from 1 species
UACGGAGGGGGCUAGCGUUGUUCGGAAUUACUGGGCGUAAAGCGUGCGUAGACGGUUAUUUAAGUCGGGUGUGAAAGCCCCGGGCUCGACCUGGGAAUUGCAUUCGAGACUGAAUAGCUAGGGUACGGUAGAGGGAAGUGGAAUUUCCGGUGUAGAGGUGAAAUUCGUAGAUAUUCGGAAGAACACCAGUGGCGAAGGCGACUUACUGGACACAUAUUGACGCUGAGGUGCGAAAGCGUGGGGAGCAAACAGG